CUUGGUCAUUUAGAGGAAGUAAAAGUCGUAACAAGGUCUCCGUUGGUGAACCAGCGGAGGGAUCAUUACAGAGUUGCAAGACUCCCAACCAUUGUGAACCUACCUCACCGUUGCUUCGGCGGGUGGCCCACACCGGGGCCGCGCCGGCCCCCGGGCCGGCAACCCGUCAGAGGACCGAAACUCUUAGUCAUCAUUGGCCUCUCUGAGUAGCUUAUACAAUAAGUCAAAACUUUCAACAACGGAUCUCUUGGUUCUGGCAUCGAUGAAGAACGCAGCGAAAUGCGAUACGUAAUGUGAAUUGCAGAUUUCAGUGAAUCAUCGAAUCUUUGAACGCACAUUGCGCCCUUUGGUAUUCCGAAGGGCAUGCCUGUCUGAGCGUCAAUAAAUCAAUCAAACCUUGGUUUGGUAUUGGGAGAAGUGGUUUUGCCUCUCUCCUUUAAGCUAUUGGCGACACUAUUUAGCUUGUAAGAUGUAGUAAGUAAUUCCUCAUCAAAGCAACUGAAUGGCUGUCUGCCAAAUGAACGAUUUAUUUUACAGCUUGACCUCAGAUCAGGUAGGGAUACCCCCUGAACUUAAGCAUAUCAAUAAGCGGAGGA
rnacentral:misc_RNA from 1 species